rnacentral:sRNA from 1 species
GCUGGGCAUGUGAGUGCUUGCCUGUAAUCCCAAUGACUCGGGAGGCUGAGGCAAGGAGGAUCACAGGUUGGAGGCCAGCCUCAGCCAUUUAGUGAGACCCUGUCUCAA